rnacentral:rRNA from 1 species
UACAGAGGUCUCAAGCGUUUGUUCGGAUUCAUUGGGCGUAAAGGGUGUGUAGGUGGCGCGCUAAGUCGGGUGUGAAAUUUCGGAGCUUAACUCCGAAACUGCAUUCGAUACUGGCGUGCUCGAGGACUGGAGAGGAGACUGGAAUUCAUGGUGUAGCAGUGAAAUGCGUAGAGAUCAUGAGGAAGACCAGUGGCGAAGGCGGGUCUCUGGGACAGUUCCUGACACUGAGACACGAAGGCCAGGGGAGCAAACGGG